GGUUCAGUCAGUUAAGUGUCUGACUUUGGCUCAGGUCAUGAUCUCACUGUUCAUGAGUUCAACCCCCACGUCGGGCUCUGUGCUGACAGCUCAGAGCCUAGAAUCUGUUUCAGAUUCUCUGCUUCAGAUUCUGUGUCUCCCUUUGUCUCUGCCCUUUCCCUGCUCAUGCUCUGUCUCUCUCAAAAAUAAAUAAAUAUUAAAAUUUAAAAAAACAUAUUUCUUAAGGGGCCAUUUUUAAUAGAUUUCCUAGUUUGGGUAUAUUAUCUUCAAUAUUUUAAAGGCUUGCAUGUUUAAGACUAAAGAACAGCUAUAUAGGGGAGCCUGGAUGGUUCAGUUGGUUUAGCAUCCAACUCUUGAUUUCAGCUUAGGUCAUGAUCUCAUAAUUCCUGAGAUCAAGCCCCAUGUCAGACUCUGCACCUAAAGCACAGAGCCUGUUUGGGAUUCUCUCUCUCCCUCCUUCUCUCUCUUUCUUUCAAAAUAAAUAAACACUAAAAAAAGAACAACUAUACAUAAAAUGUCCAUACUACCCAAAGCAAUCUAUAGAUACAAUGCAAUCCCUAUCAAAAUACCAACAGCAUUUUUUACAGAACAAAUAAUACUAAAAUUUGUAUGGAACCACAAAAGACACUGAAUAACCAAAACAAAUUUUGAGAAAGAGGAGCAAAGCUGGAGAUAUCACAAUCCCAGGUUUGAAGAUAUACUACAAUAAUAACCAAAACAGUAUGGUAUUGGCACUGGCACAACACAUAGAUCCAUGGAACAGAAUAAGAGCCCAGAAAUAAAUCCAUGCUUAUAUGGUCAAUUAGUCUAUGACAAAAGAGGCAAGAAUAUACAUUGAGGAAAAGACAGUCUUUUCAAUAAAUGUUGCUGGAAACGCUGGGCAGCUACAUGCAAAAGAAUGAAACUGGACCUGUUUCUCACACCACACAUUAAAAUAAACUCAAAAUGGAUUAAAGACUUAAAUGUAUGACCUGAAACUAUAAAACUCCUAGAAGAAAACAUAGGUAGUAAUCUGUUCUGCUUUUAUUUCUAGAUAAGUCUCCUCAGGCCAAGGAAACAAAAGCAAAAAUAAACUACUGGGACUACACCAAAAUAAAAAGCUUUUGCACAGUGAAGGAAACCAUCAACAAAAUUAAAAAGCAAGCCUCCACACUUCAGUUAGGCCAAAUCUGCCUGAUCUUUUCUUUCAAGCCAAGGGUGACUACCCUGCAAUGGCAUGUGGCAAGUGGAAGGACCAAGGAAUUGACAUUCUCCAGGAGCAGUCUUCCCAAGUGACUGGUAGAGGUGGUAGGUGAAUUCUUGAGCUCAGAGCAGCGAACAUCAAAAUAGAGAUUAUGGGAGACUUGAUGUGAAUGGGAAAGGAUGAGAUUUAUGGGGGAAUUCACAAGAGGAGUGUCCAUUUAUUAUAAUUACAGACAUCUUAUUGAACACUAAGUGCCAGACACUGGGCUAAACCCUGCUAGCAUUAGAGAUGGGUGCUGUCCUGGAGAGAGUCACACUGUUCCAGGAAAGACACUCCUGGCAAUUCAUCAAGAAAUUCCAAGAUGAUUCAUGACUUAAGAAAGCUGAGAGCAAUAUGCAAUGGGAGUACUGAUGAGAGAGAAGCUUGGAAGGCUGAUGAAGGUGUACUCCAAAUUCACAAAGGAAGUAUAUCUGUGGUAAAGGAUGAAUAUGACUUUGGUGGACCCAAGUUGAGAAGAGCCUUCUAGACAGAGAAAACAACCUGCAUAACAUUUGAAGUUACAUGGAGUGUUUGGGUGGACAGCUGGAGAAAAGCUCAUUGUGGGGUGGAGAAGAGGCAGGAGAUAAGGCUGAGAGGACAUGAAACAUCUGAUUAUAAACAGUCUUGUCUCCUUCAACUGUAGAACAGAUGAUAGGAGGAGGAAGGUCUUGAUGCAUCAGAAAAUGCAAGUGCAAUGCCUUGUCCAUCACUUCCUUUUCUGCAUGUCUCUGGUGCAAGGAGAAAAGGGAGAGGAGAAGAGACUCAGGAGAGAGGCUGUGUAUCUUCAGGUACAUCCAUCAUUGAUGAUCACAUGCCAGACACCAUACUAGUUCUUUCCAAACCUUAUCCCGUUUCAUCCUCACGGUAAGCCAGUGAGGGAGGACUGUUCAACUGUUUUGCUGGUGAAGACAUUGAGGCUUAGAAGAGGUGUAGAAAAUUGUAAGAUUUGGAAUCAUGACUACCUGCUUAAAAAGCCCUUAACCACUACAUUAUACUACUUCUCUUUUGGAAGAAGCAAAUGUGGAGUGGACAGCAGCUGCUGUGGUCGCCUUUCCUGGAUUGGGUGACAGCUAAGUGCACUGAGUUCUGCUUAUGGAGCCACAAAAAUCAGAAGAAACCAGAAGGAGCAGCCAUCAUGUUGGAAGUCAUUUGUUUUGGUAUUUACUUUGGUGAAGUCUCCAGAAGAUAUUUUGGAUUUGGAGUACUUGCUUUUUCAUCAGAUUCCUCCUUAGCAACUGCUAAAAGCAUUCAACAGAGGACAAGAGAAUAAAAAAAUUACUUAAUUCACACAGUGGCAAUGCCAGCGCUCAAGUGACUAUUGGCCUUUGGUGAACCAUUUUCUUUCAGAGCCCUCGUAUAGCACUAUCAUAAUUCUGUAACACCUCAACGCUGACCUUUUCGUUUGUAAAAGGCUUAAGUAAACAAAAUUAUAGCUUUUCUGCUACACUUCCAGCAUUUUUGAGCUACUUAGUGUUUUUGAACUUUAACAUUUGUCUGAAGAACCCAGUUACUUGAAUGAAAAAGUUUGUCAUUGACCUGUCAUUUAACACUUGAGAAAGUGGGGUCUAAUUAGUGUGGCUUUUAAAUCUUUUUCUACAAACGGAAUUCUGAAAUGUAGAUAGAUAAGAAAUAUAAAGUGGAUCAGAUGUUUUCAUAAAUAAAUAAUGAAAACCAGACAUUUGAAUGGUUUAGAAAAUUUUAAUCACUGUACAUUCUCAUGCUACCCUGAAGAGGGAAGAAGUACAGAGACAAUCUAGAAAAUGUCAAA